rnacentral:tRNA from 1 species
AAAAUUUUAAGUUAAAAUUAAACUAUUAUCUUUCAAAGAUACAAAUAUAUACUUAAAAUAUAAAUUUUA